rnacentral:tRNA from 1 species
GGCGGCGUAGCCAAGUGGUACGGCGAAAGUCUGCAAAACUUUUAUACGUCGGUUCGAUUCCGACCGCCGCCUCCA